ensembl:lncRNA
CCAUUAAGCAGGGGAUGCUUUAGGGCGGGCGGGGCUACACAGUGAUUGACAGGUUUCUACCACAGUACGCACCGUCUCUGUAACUCUUCUGCAGUCCAAAUAUGGUCACUUCCGUUGCCCCGGUGGCAAAAAAACAACAUGGCGACGGCCAAAUCAGUGAAGUAGAGGCCUCAAAACGUCCUUCCACGCGGCGGCGGGAGGCGUCACGGCGGCUGCGUCCACUUCCUCUCUUCAGCCUGUGACAUCAGGAUGUCCUGCGUCGCUUCUCCGCGCACAUUAAAGUACACAAUCCAUUUCUCAUGAGCUCUCCUGUGAAAAAUCAUCACAUGAAAAUGUGCGCCGCUGUCUGAUCGGCUUACGUAAGCCUGAGUGCCGUAAGCCUAUUUCUAAAUAUAGCUCCUUUACAUAAAAUCUAUUAGCAUGGAGCUAAUGUGUAACAUGAAGAGGACACUUAAUGACCUUUGUGUUCUCGUGGCUGUGCGUUGCCGUCUGCAGUCCCGCGUUACAAAAGGAAAUACAUUAUUGUAUAUGUAAACAAUCAAUAUGUCUGUAUAGUACCUCGGAACACAAACAGAGCCUUAAUGACACAGCACACACACGCCGGGGUCACGUGAUCAACCUUCACAUUUCAAGAACACUGUGAAGCAGCCGGCAGGCUAGUUUGUUUCUUUACAAUCCUCGUGCUAAGCUAAAUUGGCUCCUUAUUUAAGGCUCAAAUAUGAUCCAUAAAUCAUGGUAAUAAUGCUCUUGUUGUCUUUUGGACGACCACGGCACCCCGGUAAUAACGCCACACCACAAGAGAUUAAUAAAAGGAGAUGGACGUCAUUGGGGAGGUCCUCCGACUCCCGCGUGGCUAAUUGGCGCUGCUGCUGGACGUGGUUUCGCCCGCUGGAGGACAGUCCACGAGGACACAUCAUGUCCUCCAGCAGAGACCGGUCCACGAGGACACGCCAGGUCCUCCAGCAGAGACCAGUCCACGAGGACACAUCAUGUCCUCCAGCAGAGACCAGUCCACCGAGGACACACCAGGUCCUCCAGCAGAGACCGGUCCACGAGGACACACCAGGUCCUCCAGCAGAGACAGUCCACAAGGACACACCAGGUCCUCCAGUAAAGACCAGUCCACGAGGACACAUCAUGUCCUCCAGCAGAGACCAGUCCACCGAGGACACACCAGGUCCUCCAGCAGAGACCAGUCCACGAGGACACACCCGGUCCUCCAGCAAAGACCAGUCCACGAGGACACAUCAUGUCCUCCAGCAGAGACCAGUCCACGAGGACACACCAGGUCCUCCAGCAAAGACCAGUCCACGAGGACACGCCAGGUCCUCCAGCAGAGACCAGUCCACCGAGGACACGCCAGGUCCUCCAGCAGAGACCGGUCCACGAGGACAGACCCACAUCCUUCGGACCUGCAGUCAGAACUCUAAUACUUUUUUCAUCGCGUGCAUCUCUGGGAGCGUCGACACGUUGACGGUCACAUACAGCAGUCUGACCGCCCACAACCUUCUCAGGUGUUUCUUAUUCUUCAUGGACUGAAGAUAUUAAAGAUAUAAAACUACGCUGUUCCAGAAAAGCAAAUGUCAGAGGGAAAACCAAAAUGAACAUGAAUGUCAGGAUGGACGGCGUCUUCUUCUUUGGAAGAGGAUCCAGAAAAGCUUCCUGAUCACCUUUCUUCUUCUUCUUCAUAGCGAGAAGGUCCCACUGGUUCCAGAUGAGGAACAAAGUUCCCGUAGAUCGCUGUAACCACACCCGCUGCCCGCCGGCCCUUUAAGUCGGACCAGAACACUCCAAGGAGCGACAACUGCUUUGUCUUUGAGCGCACAGCAAAUAUUUACAAAGUCUGUUCAACAGGACACGUGACAGUGACCUUUGACCCCCGGUGGAGUCGAGUUCCACACGAGUUUCAAACAUUGAUUUUGGGGAGGGCUGUUUUUCGAGCUUUGUUUACUCGGGUCCGGACUUGCCGGCGACCUUUCACCUGACUGUGAUUCAUUGCCCGUCCCGUGAAACCGCUCCGGAGGCCGGAAGCAUGAAUCACGCACGUAAACUGAUGUGCUACAAAAAGAGUGCGAGCGCCGCGCACACACUUCAGCCGCGGCGUGCACGCGGUGCUCCUGGGCCAGACAAGAAGGUGGGGACGAGAUAUGAAGACCCAGAAGGAACCUGCUAUCGAAGCGGAUUCCUUCCUCUCGUCGGGCCGGAGCGGUCGAUGUAAUUACUCUCCGUCUCUUCAAGCGGCUUCGUGAAUGAAUGAACGUUUGAUUGUUGAUGUUCACAUUUGGGCUUUUUCGCGCACACGACUUUGUGAUUCAGGCCCCUGGAGUUUGUAACGGGGGCUAAAAAUAGAAAUUGGGUUAGGGCGCUGUCAACUAAAUAGUACUAGCCCAAAUCGUUUAAACCGUUUACUGGAUAGGUACUG